rnacentral:rRNA from 1 species
CGUGAAUAGUCUACAAUGGCCGGAAGCCUGAUCCAGCGACGCCGCGUGGGUGAUGAAGGCCUUCGGGUUGUAAAGCCCUUUUCCCAGGGACGAUGAUGACGGUACCUGGGGAAUAAGCACCGGCUAACUCCGUGCCAGCAGCCGCGGUAAGACGGAGGGUGCUAGCGUUGUUCGGAAUUACUGGGCGUAAAGGGCGCGUAGGCGGCUUAUUAAGUCGGGUGUGAAAGCCCAGGGCUCAACCCUGGAACUGCAUCCGAGACUGGUAGGCUCGAGACCGGGAGAGGAGAGUGGAAUACCCAGUGUAGAGGUGAAAUUCGUAGAUAUUGGGUGGAACACCGGUGGCGAACGCGGCUCUCUGGCCCGGAUCUGACGCUGAGGCGCGAAAGCGUGGGGAGCAAAC